ensembl:lncRNA
UUUUUGGCAUCUCCAUGCCUUUCAGUAGACAGAGAAGGAAUACAGAAGUAUGUGCAUAGCAUAAUCCACUAUAGUUAUCAUUGAGCAUUCAGAAAAAGCCUCAAGAAUAUCCCAGAGCACUGCUAAGGUUAAUUGACUGCUUGAAGGCGUCAGUACACACUCCAGAAAAUAAUAAUUUUUGGACUGAAAUUGACAGUUCUGCAUUCACUGUCUGUGACUCUCAGAUAAGCACUGUCCUGUCUUGAAGCUGAAUUUGUCCUGUCUUGAAGCCGAAUUAUCUGAGGUAGCUGAAUGAUGCAGAACUGGUGAAGGUGGGUGUUUACAGCAGGUCUCUCUGGGACUAACCCAUUGCUUAAGACACCUUAAAGCAAGGUACUAGGGGAGGGUCUGUACUAUGCCAAGCUGCAAUAACCGGUAUUUUUGGCAGCAGGCAGAUUCCAUACCUUUCCUGUCACUGUAGACAGACAGAGCAGUCACAGGUAGUCAUGGUUAUAUCAAAAUACUAAAUAUCCAAAGAUGUUAUAUUCAGGUAGGGCUCAGAGAUGUAGUUGACAAAAAAAUAAAUAAAUGAACAUCCAGAAUAUUAUUGUGCUGUAAAUCAACUGCCAUCACUGUGCAGAGCCAGCUGAGUUCUGAUGCAUGAUGCAUCGGUAUGUUCUGUACCACGCGUGCUGCUGUGUUGGACACCUAGGGGCACAUCUGUGGUAGUAAUUUGUUACCUGAGUCUCGUAACAGGAGGAUGAGGUUAAGCUUAAGUAUAAGGGGAAGACAUGAAGGAAUCAGAAGAUACCAGCCUGAAUCUUUCAAGCUGGUAGUUACUGAGAUGGUUUGCAGCCUCAAGUGUUGCCUGAAGUCUCUGCUCUGAAAGUCGUUGCUGUUGUGAUUACUGUUCUAUAUGAACAGCUGGAUACAUAUCUGAACAGUAUGUUCAGCUGAGGCUCUCACCGAAAAGCCAGCACUGGCAAGGCUCACCAGCUCCAGCAAUGACGUACUCUCCAGCAGGCUGGCAGAUGUGUGCGUAUGUGUGUGCGUCUAUCUCUGUAUAAAUAACAGCCGUGUAGGUGAGGCUGUCUGUCUGAACACCUAAGAAUGUCUUUUGGCUGCAGGGUUUUCCUUGUUCCCAGUUCUUCAAAUGACCACAUUAAUCCUGUUCACAGCAAUCUCAGUACAAACUGUUUUCUGGGAGAGGAGAGUUAUUGGUUUUAGGACAAAUGCAUAUCAUUGAAGCAGGUGAGUACAUGUAGUGCAUUUCUUACUGUUGGAUGAUCAUUCUGUAUACUCCAUAUGCUUCAGCACUGUCUGUACAAACAGUAAAUCAAGUACUGAGAGCCUUCAGAGGGAUCUGUACCUUCUGAAGAGCUCUGGGACUUUUUCCAUCUCCGCAACUUACCCGGUGGUCUCUGCUGCAUCAUCCUCAGAACUGAACCCAGAGACCUUCAGCACCGUGGUGUGGAGUACUUGAGCAGAUACUGAUCAAAUGACCGGUGGUGCUUCCUUCCUGGGAACAGAUGUCUUCUCAAGAAUAUCUCUGUCUGGCAGACUAAUGCCUCAGUGCCUCCUUGCCAGCGAAACAAAACAACCUGUAGUUUAAGAAAACCUGUCAAAAUUACUUAGAUGAAUGGUUCAAGUAAUUAGUUUAAGGAGACUGGAUCAAUAACUGGUUAAAUGAACGGCUUGAUUCAAAAAAAAGCCUCAGGUUUGGCCCCGUCUGAGAAAGUUUUAGCAGUUUGGCUGGGCUUGGUGAUGCUGUUCGUUCACUCUUGUAUGGGAUUUAGGUCAGCUCUUUCUGGGCUGCAAUUGGGAUCACUGAAAGCAAUGCGGAGCCUUCCAGGAACUUCUGGUGGAGCAAAUAUCUUCCCCAAAUAUAUCUGAAAUAAUAACAUAAGAAAUUUAUAAUGCUCCAGAACUCUGGUACGCUGUAUUUCUGUCUUGUACUUCGAUCUUGAAAUGUGCUUUAGUUUCUCUGUCGGCAGUGCCAAACCCCAGACCCAUAAAUAGGCACUGGUAAUCACGUAAUACCUAUCAAUAAAAAAAAAAAGCUGAUGCUGCAAAGCUAUUCAACUAUUUCUAUAGUAUUUCUGAGCCAGAUUAUUUGCUACAGCUGUGUUUUGAAGCCCUCAGUUGGUGCUACCUAAACACCAAACUGUGGUCAGGGCAAAACGAAGAAGAGUAUUUUUCCCCUUUACCUUUACUACAGCGGUCUUUGUAUGAGGACAGCCAAAUUUAACAUCCAACAUUUCUUCACAAAGAUGAUGAGCUUUGGCCUACAGGCAGAAGAAGACAGUGAUAGGACAAGGGGAAAUGGUUUUAAACUAAAAGAGGGGGG